GACGAACGCUGGCGGCGUGCUUAACACAUGCAAGUCGAACGGAAAGGCCUGCUUUCCCUUGUGGAUUGCGGGUACUCGCGUGGCGAACGGGUGAGUAACACGUGAGUGAUCUGCCCCCAACUUGGGUAUAAGCCUGGGAUACUGGGUCUAAUUCCCGAUAGGACUGCAGGGUGGUGCCUGUGGUGGAAUACGAUUUUCUCGUGGUUGGGGAUGAGCUGGCGGCCUAUCAGCUUGUUGGUGGGGCAAUGGCCUACCAAGGCGGCGACGGGUAGCCGGAGUGGGAGGGGGGACGGCGACAUUGAGACUGGGAUACGGCCCAGACGCGAAGGGGAGGCAGGAGUUGGGAAUAAUGGAGAAAGGGCGGAAGCCAGAUGCGGCGAGGCUGCGAGGGAGAUGUCGGGCUUCGGGUUGUAAACUCCUUUCGAGGGAGAGGAGGCCACCUGGUUGGAAGGGUGGUGACGGUAGUGGUAGAAGAAGCACCGGCUAACUACGUG
rnacentral:rRNA from 1 species